rnacentral:rRNA from 1 species
GUAUGUAUUAUAUGAAUAAGGAUCGGCUAACUCCGUGCCAGCAGCCGCGGUAAUACGGAGGAUCCGAGCGUUAUCCGGAUUUAUUGGGUUUAAAGGGAGCGUAGGUGGACUGGUAAGUCAGUUGUGAAAGUGUGCGGCUCAACCGUAAAAUUGCAGUUGAUACUGUCAGUCUUGAGUACAGUAGAGGUGGGCGGAAUUCGUGGUGUAGCGGUGAAAUGCUUAGAUAUCACGAAGAACUCCGAUUGCGAAGGCAGCUCACUGGACUGCAACUGACACUGAUGCUAGAAAGUGUGGGUAUCAAACAGGAUUAGAUACCCUGGUAGUCCACACAGUAAACGAUGAAUACUCGCUGUUUGCGAUAUACAGUAAGCGGCCAAGCGAAAGCAUUAAGUAUUCCACCUGGGGAGUACGCCGGCAACGGUGCAACUCAAAGGAAUUGACGGAAC